rnacentral:lncRNA from 1 species
UACUCUUUUCCCUUCUGAAAUCCUCUGAUCUACAACACAGUUUUGAUCCAAGAUGGCUUAAUUUAUAGUUUUUAAAAGAGAAGAAAAUAAGAGAGUGAAAAUGACAUCUUAGAUUUUCUUGUAUUCACUCAUUUGGGAACCAAUUGAUUCAGAUGCAAUUGAACUGAAUACACAAAUGAACGGGGCCUAACAUGGCUUAUAGGAGCACAUUUAAAAAAAAAUGUGUCUCAGUGUAUUGAAAACGUUUUAGUGCAAGGUAGGGGGUUCUCAGCCUUUUUCAAACCAUGACCCUACAUUCAGGCACACUCAACCAGCCCUCUUCAGAUGUGCCGAAGAAUCUUUUGUUCUCCUUGCUCUUGGAAAGACCUGCUCACAGAAUCCUACAGUGAGACACAGAGGAUGUCAUGGGAAUUAGCACAAAGGUUAUGGGGUGCACCUGACACAUGAAGAGGUCUUCGCUGCACGUGACAGAACAAAUCCAUUUCAACAGAGGGGAGGUCAGCGCCUGGGAAUGGGUUUCAGCCCUGUGACACCCGCACCCUGGCAAGUUGCAGCCCGAGGACCCUGAGAUUGAGAAUCCUCACGUCAGUGGCACCAGCUCCCUGGCUCUGGCCCUUGUGAUGGUCCCCCAGCAUGUGUUUAAUUGCUGUUCAAGAAACACUUUGCAGCUGGCAACUCAAAGUGUAUGGGAUGAUUCUCCAUUCGUUUUGGCUUCCUGCCUUCUUUUCAUUCAUAUAUUUAUUUAUUCAUUUUCUUUUCUAAAUAGGAUUUCUCCCGAGAAUUAAGUCUAACACCUGCUGCGUCUCAGUAUUUCCCAGGUGAGCCGAUUAUUUCAGGGAAUUUUAUUCACCUGAUCUUCCAUUAGGGCUGCUUUGCAAACCAGAGCAUGUGCUAUUUCUAGUGAAAUGAUGACCCUGCUUCAGAACGCAGGUACAUUAAGGAUACUUAAUGCUUCCAGCUGGCAUGGCAGAGGUGGUUAUAACUGAGAAAAAUAAAAACUUGGAUUAGGCAGCCA